CGGCGUGCUUAACACAUGCAAGUCGAACGCGAAAGAGACUUCGGUCCUGAGUAAAGUGGCGCACGGGUGAGUAACGCGUAGAUAACCUGUCUUCAUGUCUGGAAUAAUACGCCGAAAGGGGUACUAAUACCGGAUAUUCUUGCUUUUCAUAAGUUAUGCAAGCAAAGGUGGCCUCUGCAUAUGCUACUGCAUGAAGAGGGGUCUGCGUACCAUUAGCUAGUAGGUGGGGUAAUGGCCUACCUAGGCGACGAUGGUUAGCGGGUCUGAGAGGAUGAUCCGCCACACUGGCACUGGAACACGGGCCAGACUCCUACGGGAGGCAGCAGUGAGGAAUAUUGCGCAAUGGGGGAAACCCUGACGCAGCGACGCCGCGUGAGUGAGGAAGGCCUUCGGGUCGUAAAGCUCUGUCAAGAGGAAAGAAGUGUACAAUGGCUAAUACCUGUUGUAUUUGACGGUACCUCUAAAGGAAGCACCGGCUAACUCCGUGCCAGCCGCCGC
rnacentral:rRNA from 1 species